AUGAAAAUCGUGAGAUGGAACUGCCGGGGGCUUGGAAACGGCCCGACAGUUCCUUCUUUUCUCGAAUUGGGAAGAGUGGAGGAGCCCGACAUUUUGUUCUUAUGUGAAACUAGAUUGGAGGAGAAGGAUCUGGACCGGUUCAGAUGGAUUCUUGGACUCGUUCAUAUGUGCUCAUGGAAGGGGGAGGGAAGGAGUCGAGGAGUAGCAAUGUUUUGGAGAAGGGAGGUGGAUGUGACCUUGCGAUCAUUUGGGAGGAGGCAUAUUGAUGUCGAUGUGAAAUGGGAGGAUGGCUUGGUGUGGAGGCUCACGGGUAUGUACGGGGAAUCGGCUAUGGAUAGGAAGAAGGAGACAUGGAGAACACUUAGUAUUCGAAAACAACAACACUAG
rnacentral:rRNA from 1 species